UCAACAGGGUGUAUACAACUA
rnacentral:siRNA from 1 species